UGGUAAAAGGAAAUCUUAGAUACUCAGUUUUUAUACAAAUUCACAACAAAAGACAAACUUUAGGAACCCUGCCACUCCUUAAGAUUAAGAAAUUAAGAUACACAUUUCAAGAAUUUCUAUUGACCUCUUAAUUAUUUGUAAUUUCUAUGCCAAACCUGUUCGUUUGAAAUACAUCCAUCUACUUAAACCUCUCCAAAUGUUGUUGAUAGGCAGUAAACCCUACUCUCCAAAAGUUUGGGAAAAAACAUAGGACAUUUUUUACUACCAAGAUAUAAAGAAAAUUUGGGAUUCCUAUCAUCUGGAAUAAAAAUGGAAAGUAGGGAUGUGUGUGCCAGCCGUCAUGCCAAAUAUCACAGUUUAGCUUCUCCUUUCUUCAAAAUUUGAAGUCCCAUCACAAUUCACAUGAUAGUCCGUCAAUAAAAUGAUUCUAAUAGUUGAGUUGAGAGUAGAAAUAAAUACGAAUAGAGGAGGCUUACUGUUCAUUGUUCAACAUAGACAAAGGUAGUCGUAAAAACACAUGGUUUGGUUUGUCGUAAAAACACAUGGUUUGGUUUGGAAAAAAAAACAUCAUUUCAAUAGUCACUCUCCAACCCCCUGUAUUAUUGAAAACAAAAUUUCAAGAGACUUAGAAAUGGCUUUAAGCUCAACUCCCAACACUAAACUUGCAACUUUUAGAAGGCCAACAUGCCAGUCAGAUAAUACCUUUGGAAAAAUGAGUAUAAUUCCAUAGAAGUUUGUGUAAAUAAUGAAAGAAGUCCCAAUAAAUUUUUUUUAUCUAGUAAAAAGUUUGCACACUACACUUUCAACUGGAAACGGUUUAUUCAUUGCCUCCUCAACAUUGUUUCAAUUAAAUUUAAAUAAGAUGAAGGCUUUUGCCAUUGAUUCUCCAAAUUAAACUCACCUAUCUCAGUAAAAUAUAAAUUUGGAUGGACAUAACAGCAUCAACAGAACCCAGUAAAUAAUGAAUCACAGAUAUAGAGACAGAAACAAGAAUUAGAACACCAAAAAGAGAAAGAAACAUGGGCAGACACAAAACUGGUAAGAAAGGACAAGAGAUGUGCAGCUUACCA
rnacentral:lncRNA from 1 species